rnacentral:rRNA from 1 species
AUUGAACGCUGGCGGCAUGCUUUACACAUGCAAGUCGAACGGCAGCGCGGGCUUCGGCCUGGCGGCGAGUGGCGAACGGGUGAGUAAUACAGCGGAACGUGCCCAGCAGUGGGGGAUAGCUCGGCGAAAGCCGGAUUAAUACCGCAUACGACCUGAGGGUGAAAGCGGGGGAUCUUCGGACCUCGCGCUCUUGGAGCGGCCGAUGGCAGAUUAGCUAGUUGGUGGGGUAAAGGCCUACCAAGGCGACGAUCUGUAGCUGGUCUGAGAGGACGACCAGCCACACUGGGACUGAGACACGGCCCAGACUCCUACGGGAGGCAGCAGUGGGGAAUUUUGGACAAUGGGCGAAAGCCUGAUCCAGCAAUGCCGCGUGUGUGAUGAAGGCCUUCGGGUUGUAAAGCACUUUUGGCGGGAACGAAAAGGACUGUGCCAAUACCACGGUUCGAUGACGGUACCCGCAGAAUAAGCACCGGCUAACUACGUG